rnacentral:lncRNA from 1 species
ACUUAAUCGAAGAAAUAUCAAAGUUUGGGGUUUAAUUGGGGUCCAAAUUGCAAACAUUAAAAUCCAAGGACUAGAUUGAAAAUGACACGGAAAUGCAAGGUUCUAAUUACAUUUUAACCAGGGACUUGAUUGCCAAAAUUACAAGAAUUACAGGGACCAAAUUGAAGACAGCCUUUAGAACUGGAAAACGGAGUCGUUUUGCAGCGACUGUUCACUGUCUUCUUCCUCCGUUUCAUCAGUUUCCAGCCAACGCUUGAGUUUCAUCAUUGAAGGCAACCAGUUACAGGGCAUUUAAGUGGCGACCGUUACAGCGCCGAUCGAUCUUUGGCCUUAUAAAAGCUGGGCAAAGGCAACCUCGCGACAGGACCAGGGGGUUGGAGAGUUGGAGAGAGGAGAGGACCGAAAAAGCCACUGGUGAUCACAGAACCGGGGAGAUUAGAAAAAAAAGACUUUCGUUCCUCUGUUUCUUCUCAAAGAAACAGAGGAGGCUAAAGAAGAAAACCACGAGCAGAGGAAAAAACCAGCGAAGACAGGGGAGAGACAGAGCGGGACAGAGGAGAAAAACCCAGCAAAAAACCGAGAGAAAGAAAAUACACAGCCAAAAACAAAACAGAGAAAACGCAAGCAUAGAAACCCAGAAAACCCAACAUUAACAUCACAAUCUCCUCGAUUCCCCCUGCAAAUCAGAAAAGAAAAAAAACCAAGCAACAAGCCGUGACCUUCAUCAUCACCGAAACAAGAGGAAAACAAAAGGGGACAGUCAUACACAGUCAAGAGCGAAAUCACUCUGCUGCCAGCCUCCUCACGAUCUCCAGAAGCAGGUAAGCCAUUCUCAUUCUCUCUUCAUUCUUAUUUGAAUUGUGCAAAUGCAAGAACUGUGCGAAGGUAAUUUAAUUACCUUCGCACAGUUGCUGCACGCGUGAAAUUGCUUCACGCGUGCAGUUGUAAUUAAAACAAGCCAGGCCACUGGCUUGGGCCAGUCUUGGGCCCGGCCCCCAAAAAAUAUAGAAAAAAAAAAAGUUUAGAAAAAAAAUUUGCAUGUCUUAAUUUUUUUUUUAGGGCCACGAAUAUUUACCAACGCCAGAGUUGGAUUUAUUCGUGGUCGAAUUUUUAAAUUUGGAAUUAUGUGGUGGAAUAUUUACCGACGCCAGAGUUGGAUUUAUUCGUGGUCGAAUUUUUAAUUGAAAUUAUUUGUGGUGAAAUUUUUACCAACGCCAGAGUUGGAAUUAUUCGAGCUCUAAUAUUCACUGGCGCCAGAGUCAGGAAUAUUAUAAACAAAUCAUCAUAGCAUAAAUUAAUAAAUAUUUGGCAAUUUAAGACAAAACCAACAAUGCAGUCUGCCUUAGGCAGAACGUUUAAGGGUGAUAAUAUCUUCCCUUUUACGUAACCAAUCCCGAGCCAUAGAAUCUCUGUUGACCAGUUAGGGUUCCUAGUGACCAUAAUACUAGGUGGCGACUCCUCAAACAAGACUUUUUUCCUAAAAGAACCGGAUGUCAGAUAUCUGUUCUUUUUUCUAUAAUUCAAGAGAAUUUAUUUUUUAGGGUCGCCGCGAUGUCGGGUGCGACAGAAUGGCGACUCCACUGGGGACCCUAGGAUUAAGCUUUGUCUUUUGUCUUAUUAUUGCUAUUUUUUUUUUUGUUUUUUGUUGUGUUUAUUUGUUUAUUUUUCUUGUAUUUACUGCUUUAGCAUGCAUCCUUAUUUAUGUUGUCAUGCAUCACUUUGAGAGCACACACUUGACAACCUAGGAUAAGUGGGAAAGUAACGGUACCCCAAUGGCUUUAGCCUGGGUAAGACUCGUGAAACCAUCCAACUCUCGCUUGAUUGUUUACUUGGAAGUGGUUGAUAUGCCAAACUGAUAUUACUCAGGGCCUCUAUCUUCACACUACUUGUAAGCCUCAUAUCGACCUUUCAUGGACGAUCACUGAGCAUGCGAAAGACCCUUUGAGACUAGAUAAUGACCAACCCCUUGAUGCACUCAGUAAUUAGGAUCUUCCAACUAGGUAGUCACCCCGUAAAGGGCAAGUUCGCAUUUCAUACGCAUUUUUUUAUUUUUUAUUAUUGCUUUAGCAUUUUUGCAUAAUUGCAUGAUUUACAUUUAGCAGGUUGAAAUAUAGGUCCCUCAUUGAAACUCAUUUAUAACACUCGUUCGAGAAAAAGACAAAUGGAAAACGAAGAAAGAGCCCAGUUGGAAGCCCAACAUCAAAAAGAGGUGGACAAUCUUAAGGAAGAAGUCGCAAGGCUUACUAGUCUACUCGAGCAGGCCUUGAGAGAUAAAUCCGGAAAAGCAACACUUAUAGCUCAGCCUGGAGAUAUGCAUGUAACUCAUUUCGAUCCACAGAAUCUGGGGGCAAAUAGGGAGUCAUCUGAAUUUCAACAAGCUAUGCAUUUCCAGCCAGCAUACCCUUCAAGAAUUUCAUCUACCACUGAUUCCGCCGAGAAAGAAUCUCAAAAGGGCAAGAUGGUGAAAGAAAAGGAUUUGGAAAAAUGGACUACCCUAGAGAAGAGGAUAAGGGCAGUUGAGGGAAACCAUUUGUGUGACUUGACGAAAGCUGUCAAUAUGUGUUUGGUGCCCAACGUUGUCAUUCCCAAAAAGUUUAGAGUGCCAGAAUUUUUCAAAUAUACGGAACUCAAUGCCCUAUAACUCAUCUCAAAGCAUACUGCAACAAAAUGGCUGAGGUGGUGAUGAUGAGAAACUUGAUUCAUUUUUUCAAGACAGCUUGAGUGACGCUGCCCUCACUUGGUAUAUGCGGUUGGACAAUACCAAGGUUAAAAAAUGGAAGGACUUAGUUGAUGCCUUCAUGAGGCAAUAUAAGUUCAAUAUAGACGUGGGUCCUGAUCGGUUAAGCUUGCAAGCUAUGGAGAAGAACAACAAGGAGUCCAUAAGAGAAUAUGCCCGGAGAUGGAGCGAGGUAGCUGCACAAGUUAAUCCUCCCAUGUUGGAAAAAGAGAUGAUCAGUUUAUUUUCCAAUACAUUUAAAGCUCCGUACUUUGAAUACUUGGUUAUAAGCUCUGCACAACAUUUCACUGACUGGUUGUUAUAGCGAGAGGAUUGAACAAGCCAUUGGUUAGGUAAGAUUGCUAACCCGACUGAGAAGAACAGUUUCACUGAAGGUGGUUGCCAAGACACUUAUCAUUCCUAUAGUUAAUUGCUUCACACCAACUCUCAGAAAUCAACUAUCUUGAAGAUAAAGCUAUGGUGAUAUUAGGUCAAGAAUGAUCUACAAAUGACUUCAAUUGAUUGUUGCCCUUGUUAAGGAGAAUGAAUGAUUGAUUCUAGAAAUUCCAACCAAUGAUCACUAAAUGUUUAGCCCCUUUAUAUGUUAUCAUGCCAGUAUUCACAGCCCAAGAUGUAGUCAUAAGUUCUUUCUUGUUGAACUUAUUUUCCAAAGUUUCAAUGAAAUAAUGAGUUUGUCAUUCAAUCAUGUUUAUGAUUAUCAUUAUUCAUUUUUUUCUGAGAGAGUUUUCUUACAAAGAUUCACAAACACAUCUUUGAAGCCUUGUGCGAUCUCAUAGACGCAAUUCAUCUCUUUUACCAAAAAUCAGUUUCCCUAUUGGAGUUUUGAAAAAAUUGAUCUGGCAUUUUGAUUUCAAAAAAUAAUUUGAUGUUUAUUCAAAAAUGAUAUUUUUGACAUUCUACUUGUAGAAUGACAAUUGAAUCAAGCAACUCCUUUAUAAAGGUGACCAAACUCUAAAAAAAAGAAAGAAAAAGAAAUAAAUAAACACCCUUACCCCAUGACUCUUGAAACAUGUGUUUUUAAAUGCAUGAAUAAUGGUAUGUAGUGAACUCGCAUGACUUAUGAAACACAUCUUUGCAAAGACCAAACCAUCAUACUGGAUGAGGUCAAAGUUUAUUGAUCUUAACUGCUUGCGCUUGAAAUGAGGAAAGGCCAUCUUUGUUAUUCCUUUCACAUUCUGAAAUAAAUACAUCCUUUGCGAUCCCUUUUUGAGCCUAAAUAAUUUUUCUUUCAAAAAAAAAUCCCGACUAAGAUCACACCCCACACUGGGGGCAAGUGAAAUUUCAAUGAUCAAGAAAAAUGAUAAAGUCGUGAGAAAGCCAAAAGGCAAAAGAGCCCAAGAAACUCAAAUGCUAGGGGGCAUGCCCAAAUCACAAGAAAAAGUGAUAACUAAGAUAAAAUGAGUAUGCUCUAGCAAAGCAAUGAAAAAGAAAAAAGAGGGGCAAAUCAAAGAAGAACAGCAAAAGAAAUAUGAAUGAUGCCAAAAUUCAAACUAUUGAUCGGGAUCUUUAGUCUUUGAAACCCUGAAACACUCUUUGAGCCUUAUAUUCUUUUCUUUCAUAGCCAAAAACCACAGCCUACGUUACGUGCCUGUAGAAGUCCUUUCUAAUCAAGCAAGCAAGCAACCUAGAACAAUAAACAAUGCUCUCAAAAUGCAAAGAAUACUUUUUCAUAAGAUUCAUGACAUCAAGAAUAAACUACUCAUUAUUAUUCAUGCUGAUAAAAAAUAAAUGUUCAAAAAGAGACAAGUUUUUCUCAUAUAAAACCUCGAGCUUUUUUCUCGAGCCCUUCACUUUGAAACAAAAGGUCAUCUCAUGACUGAAGAUCUCAUUGCCAAACACAAGAGCAAAUAACCUUUUUUUUUCCAAGAAAGAAAAUAACCAAGGAGUUGCAAAGAUUUCAAAAGCAAAUUGUUUUAGAUUCACAUCGAAAUAAUUUUUGUUUUCAAAAUGCAAGAUCAAGAUUUCAAGAUUCAUUCUAGACCCAUAUUCCUUCACCAAACUGAAAAUGAGAGAAUGGCCUUCUAAAACCAUUAUUUGUCUAAGUCGCUGACAGAGCAAACUUAGGGGCAAUAACCAGUACAAGGGGGCAACAUUGUGUUUAAGGAAAAUCUAUCAUUCCUUACAACAAGACAAAGGGGCAUUUUGGUUUAUGAAAGACAGUUUGAUCCUUUCAACAAGUGAUACCGAAUGUUUUUAGCAGUGAGACAAGGGGUAAUAAAUGAUCCUCUCAAAUUAUUUGACGAGUAAAAAAAAAUCUUUAGCAAGCAAGUGGGUCACGAUGGGCACCACAAAGGCUGAGUUGUGCAAACAAAUCUGGAAAUAGAUUUACAUGGGCUAACUCGAGUGGGCUACAAGCCAAGUGACAAAGAUGACCCGAAUCAGAGGUAGCAAGUCCUCAUCAGUCAAGCAACAAGAAGACUAAGAAGAAAUGGAGGCCUAUAUUUCAAAACAGGUAAAGAUGCAUGCAUAUCAUCUAAACUUCGAGACAUUGAACAAUGAGUUUUGCAAAUUUCAUAUGAGAAAAUUCCAACGAAAUCCAUCAAGUGGAAGGCCAACUUGAUAUGGCCAAGAUUGAAUUUGCUUUUGAAAUUUUUUUAUUUUUUGAGAAUUUUUCAUCCUGGGCAGGCCGCCCAUGAGAAUUAGGCCACCUGAAAAAUCUCUGUGUUUUUCCACCUUUUUCGAGUGCGCCUUCGAGCCAUCGACCAUCAUAGGUAGUGCAUUUCAUAUCCUACCUCAAUUCAAGCGCACCUUCGAGCCCUCGUCUUAUCUUCAUUCGAGCGCGCCUUCGAGCCCUCACCUCAUUUCUUUUCGAGCGCGCAUUCGAGCCCUUGACCAUCAAAGGUAGUGCAUUUCCUAUCCUACCUCCUUUUGAGUGCGCCUUCGAGCCCUCACCUCAUUUCUUUUCUAGCGCGCCUUCAAGCCCUCGACCAUCAAAGGUAGUGCAUUUCCUAUCCUACCUCCUUUUGAGUGCGUUUUCGAGCCCUCAUUCCCUUUCGAGCACACCUCCGAGCCCUCAUUUCCUUCAAGCUUCCAUCUUUUGGAAUAGUGCGCCUUCGAGCCCUAUCAUGUCAUUUUUUCCACCUCCUUCAAAUCUAUGUGAAUUAGAUCAUUUUUAGAAAAAUCCUCGUAUUUUUUCUCACUGGGCUGGUAACCCAUUACAAUAUACCAACUGGGCAGGUAACCCAUUACAAUGUGACCAACUGGGGUGGUAACCCAUUACAAUAUUCCAACUGGGCAGGUAACCCAUUACAAUGUGACCAACUGGGCUGGUAACCCAUUACAAUAUACCAACUGGGCAGGUAACCCAUUACAAUGUGACCAUCCUAAAAAAAAAUCAUCCUCGUAUUUUUUUUUUUUCAAUCAUCGGGCAGGUCGCCUGGAAAAACUAGACCAUUCGCGAAAUCCUUCUCGUUUCUUUUAUCAUCGGGCAAGUUGCCCAAAACAAUUUGAUAAAAAACAACAAAACAAAAAAAAAACAAAAAAAAACAAAAAAAGGUGGAUCGUCUUCCAAAUGGCUUGUUUCUUGAUUUCUACAUCUCUUUGUAAAGGUCGUGUGUCAAUCUACUGUUGUCGAAGUUUUCAAGAAAAAAAAAAAAAAAGAAGCAAAAGUCCUCUCUGUAUCUACUUUUCUUUAUAAAUUUACUACACAAAGCUAAAAGAAAAUAAAAUUUUCUAAUAUCUUUGCAUAGUAAAUAUUAUAAAGAGGGGGCAACUGUCAUAACCCAAUUUUUGACCAUUCUUAUUUUUAUUAUUAUUAUUUUAUUUACUGAAAAGAAAAAAAAAUGAUGAUGAUAAGAAAAAUAAUAAUGAUGAAAAAAAGUAAAAUGAAAUAAAUGAAGAAUGAAUUAAAAUUUGGGGGAAUCAUGGUUGGAAGUUUUGGGGUUUAAUGAAACUUUGUAAUUAAUCCAAUCAAGGGUUUAAUUGGAGAAUUGAUAAGUUUUGAGACUUAAUUGAGCUUGGAAUUAAUUUAAUUAAUCCAAUUAAGGGUUUAAUUGGAGAAUUGAUAAGUUUUGAGACUUAAUUGAGCUUGAAAUUAAUUUAAUUAAUCUAAUCGGGGACUUAAUCGAAGAAAUAUCAAAGUUUGGGGUUUAAUUGGGGUCCAAAUUGCAAACAUUAAAAUCCAAGGACUAGAUUGAAAAUGACACGGAAAUGCAAGGUUCUAAUUACAUUUUAACCAGGGACUUGAUUGCAAAAUUACAAGAAUUACAGGGACCAAAUUGAAGACAGCCUUUAGAACUGGAAAACGGAGUCGUUUUGCAGCGACUGUUCACUGUCUUCUUCCUCCGUUUCAUCAGUUUCCAGCCAACGCUUGAGUUUCAUCAUUGAAGGCAACCAGUUACAGGGCAUUUAAGUGGCGACCGUUACAGCGCCGAUCGAUCUUUGGCCUUAUAAAAGCUGGGCAAAGGCAACCUCGCGACAGGACCGGAGGGGGUUGGAGAGUUGGAGAGAGGAGAGGACCGAAAAAGCCACUGGUGAUCACAGAACCGGGGAGAUUAGAAAAAAGACUUUCGUUCCUCUGUUUCUUCUCAAAGAAACAGAGGAGGCUAAAGAAGAAAACCACGAGCAGAGGAAAAAACCAGCGAAGACAGGGGAGAGACAGAGCGGGACAGAGGAGAAAAACCCAGCAAAAAAAAACCGAGAGAAAGAAAAUACACAGUCAAAAACAAAACAGAGAAAAUGCAAGCAUAGAAACCCAGAAAACCCAACAUUAACAUCACAAUCUCCUCGAUUCCCCCUGCAAAUCAGAAAAGAAAAAAAACCAAGCAACAAGCCGUGACCUUCAUCAUCACCGAAACAAGAGGAAAACAAAAGGGGACAGUCAUACACAGUCAAGAGCGAAAUCACUCUGCUGCCAGCCUCCUCACGAUCUCCAGAAGCAGGUAAGCCAUUCUCAUUCUCUCUUCAUUCUUAUUUGAAUUGUGCAAAUGCAAGAACUGUGCGAAGGUAAUUUAAUUACCUUCGCACAGUUGCUGCACGCGUGAAAUUG